UAGUUGGUUGUAAAGAAGAUCUGAAAUAUUUCAAAAAACAUAGUGACACAUUCUGUCAGAUUUGAGUCUUAGCAGUGCUACCUUUCUCACAGAUUCGGGGGAUCAGCUAAAAAAAGAAGCCGGGCUGGCACUUCAAUUACUAUGAAAUGUCCUGCAGGACUCGGUAAAAAAGGAAGAGCAGCUGUUCGAAGCAGAACGGAGUGGGGGAGACUUUGGCGCGUGCCAGGAAAAGAACACCGGGCCUAGGGCUCAAAGUAACGUUCGUUUCAGGAUCACCGAUAACAAUUACUCAAACAGGACGACGCUGCAGCUCAAUGUGCAACUGCAACCCCGAAAGAGAGAGCGCUCCUUGCAGCUCUUAAGGAGGAUCCUGCCGGCGAAGAGGGGACCCUCUUUUGUGCGGGAUCCUUUGCUUCUUCGCGCAUUGCAGAAAUGCCAACGUGUCACAAUCGAGAGCAGCACAACACAAAUCUGUGGCAAGUGUCUCUGCAGCAGCAGCGCUUGCAUCACCAUUCACCAGCUAUUUGAACAUCAAUUAUGAGCACAGACUCGCAUUGAAUGGAUGCUGAUGCGUUUGAGGGGGUUCUUUGGACAGGGGAUUCUGGGGACGGGGCACCGACAAUCCGGCCGACAUCCACAGAGGAUGAGCAGCACUCAGCAUGCAGAGACAUUCAAUGGAGCAGGCCAGCACACAAAAAGAAAGGGUGGCACAAGCCAAGAUGCAUCACAAAAGGUCACAGGGUCGUCCGACAGAGGGGGAUCCUAUCUACAGUUCCCCAUGUCAAACUUUUAAGUGGCAUAUUUUGAACAAAUCGGAAAAGCUGUCAGGAUUGGUGGCCUUUAUAAACGUGUAAAAUGUGUCACAAAGAUUACAGUCAAGGUUUGUCAUAUGCAAGCAAGGCGGUUGACUCACUACAAAUUCUGAUAAAAUUAUAAAAUUAUAAACAACAAAGUAUACCAUAAAUGUCUAAUAAUGCACAGAUGCACAAGGUCACUUGACGAACUGCCACAAUGUGAACAGACGCCAUGCCCACUGGAAAUGUUAGUGACCCAAAUUGGGUUUGCAUAACCGACCGGGGCAACUGUCGAUGGCCAGGGAAAUCUGUUCCCAGGGUCAGGAUGGCAGACCACAAAUCUGCUCGUCGCCAACUGUCCCCAAUUACAUGAAAUUAUACCCGAAAUAGCCCUUUCAGUUUUGAUUUUUUCCUCUGUGUCCUUUGUGGCGUCGCAUUGUUGGCAGCGUUUAAGAGCCAUAAUUGUGCGGUUAGUGUUCGUGAGACCAUGUGUCAAGUGGCCUGACAGAUUGUGGGAUAAAUGGCUGUCCGAAAGUGAAGAAAAAGUGCAAAAAUCUGUACAUUAGUAGGUGAACCCCACCUCUAGAUGUGCCGCAUGCAAUUGGAAUCGAAAAUGAUGCUUGUCUUAUUGAAAUGCUGUGGCAAUUAAAUUCCUUGAGUUAUUCACAUCUCUAUUAAGAAGCGGGUAAACGAUAUAUGAAUUAUUUGAUCAGUUUCGCAUAAACAACUCAAUUAAAAACUGAAGAAUUCCAGUUCUUCCCACAAUCGGAAACAGAACAAUACCAACAAUGGCCCAAAAUCCACCCUCAAAACUAUCUGAAUCCGAAAGAUAUUUUCACACCUUCGCAAAUGAAUUGCCAGAUAGCGGGAUCACCUGUGCAUCGCUGCGAUUCCCAGGAUGUUGGCAAUCGGAAUCGGGAUAUUCCAACUGUAAAAUGCACAACAAAAGCGAACGGACGAUUUGCGGAAAGCAAAGGGAAGUGGAGAGCGGAUGUUGUGCACGCUUCACGCGCAAGCGUAGCGGAAAUCAAAAAAAGGACAAUGAAAGGACGAACGAAGAGAGGCACACGGAUUGCGGGUGAGGAAAAAGAAGUAGAAGACGGUGAAUUAAAUUUUACCGCUAUGGGAUCGAAAUAGAGACAAACGGAUGUGAAGCACAAUCACUUCCGAUUGCGGGCAGGAUAGAGGACCACACGCAGACGGGCGGACUUUGUCCACUCUCAGGUCCUUCAGCUGAUUCCCUAACCAAUCACUUUCUCUAUACAUUAAAUAAUCUAUCUUUUUAAAAGUAACUUCCCUAGCAAAAUUUCACUGUUCUUCUCGAUGCUUUGACUCCUAAAUUAAAAUGUUAACUGACCUCUGCAGAUUGGGUGAACUGAGCGAAUGAGAGUGUAUUUAAGGCACCCAAACAAAUAUGUGUCAGUUCCAACAAGUGUUUGUUUAUCUAGUCGCGCCGGAUAAUUUAUGGACCCAGCGGUUUUAUCAACGCCUCGCAGUUGCGUUCCCACAAGUGUUGCAUAAAGCUGAUAGAACGUCUCGAUCGCUGCCCGCACGAUCUCAAUUUAUUUGCAUUGUAAACAAGAAAAUAUUGUAUGUAUAGGAGCAAUCAUAAAGCAAAGGAAACAGACCGAG
rnacentral:sRNA from 1 species